AGCGACUGCCGGGAGGGGCUCGC
rnacentral:piRNA from 1 species